GCACUAAUGAAGAGUCUCAAACUAGGACGAAACAGCUGUCCAGUAC
rnacentral:hammerhead_ribozyme from 1 species